rnacentral:rRNA from 1 species
GGUUAAGCGACUAAGCGUACACGGUGGAUGCCCUGGCAGUCAGAGGCGAUGAAGGACGUGCUAAUCUGCGAAAAGCGCCGGCGAGGUGAUAUGAACCCUUGACCCGGCGAUGUCCGAAUGGGGAAACCCAGUGUGUUUCGACACACUAUCGUUAACUGAAUACAUAGGUUAACGAGGCGAACCGGGGGAACUGAAACAUCUAAGUACCCCGAGGAAAAGAAAUCAACCGAGAUUCCCCCAGUAGCGGCGAGCGAACGGGGAGCAGCCCGGAGUCUGAAUCAGCUUGUGUGUUAGUGGAACGGUCUGGAAAGUCCGACGGUACAGGGUGAUAGUCCCGUACACGAAAGCACACUUGCUGUGAACUCGAAGAGUAGGGCGGGACACGUGGUAUCCUGUCUGAAUAUGGGGGGACCAUCCUCCAAGGCUAAAUACUCCUGACUGACCGAUAGUGAACCAGUACCGUGAGGGAAAGGCGAAAAGAACCCCGGCGAGGGGAGUGAAAAAGAACCUGAAACCGUGUACGUACAAGCAGUGGGAGCACCUUCGGGUGUGACUGCGUACCUUUUGUAUAAUGGGUCAGCGACUUAUAUUCUGUAGCAAGGUUAACCGUAUAGGGGAGCCGAAGGGAAACCGAGUCUUAACUGGGCGUUAAGUUGCAGGGUAUAGACCCGAAACCCGGUGAUCUAGCCAUGGGCAGGUUGAAGGUUGGGUAACACUAACUGGAGGACCGAACCGACUAAUGUUGAAAAAUUAGCGGAUGACCUGUGGCUGGGGGUGAAAGGCCAAUCAAACCGGGAGAUAGCUGGUUCUCCCCGAAAGCUAUUUAGGUAGCGCCUCGUGAACUCAUCUUCGGGGGUAGAGCACUGUUUCGGCUAGGGGGCCAUCCCGGCUUACCAACCCGAUGCAAACUACGAAUACCGAAGAAUGUUAUCACGGGAGACACACGGCGGGUGCUAACGUCCGUCGUGAAGAGGGAAACAACCCAGACCGCCAGCUAAGGUCCCAAAGUCAUGGUUAAGUGGGAAACGAUGUGGGAAGGCACAGACAGCCAGGAUGUUGGCUUAGAAGCAGCCAUCAUUUAAAGAAAGCGUAAUAGCUCACUGGUCGAGUCGGCCUGCGCGGAAGAUGUAACGGGGCUAAACCAUGCACCGAAGCUGCGGCAGCGACACUAUGUGUUGUUGGGUAGGGGAGCGUUCUGUAAGCCGUUGAAGGUGUGCUGUGAGGCAUGCUGGAGGUAUCAGAAGUGCGAAUGCUGACAUAAGUAACGAUAAAGCGGGUGAAAAGCCCGCUCGCCGGAAGACCAAGGGUUCCUGUCCAACGUUAAUCGGGGCAGGGUGAGUCGACCCCUAAGGCGAGGCCGAAAGGCGUAGUCGAUGGGAAACAGGUUAAUAUUCCUGUACUUGGUGUUACUGCGAAGGGGGGACGGAGAAGGCUAUGUCAGCCGGGCGACGGUUGUCCCGGUUUAAGCAUGUAGGCGGAGGUUCCAGGUAAAUCCGGUACCUUUUAACGCUGAGGUGUGAUGACGAGGCACUACGGUGCUGAAGUGAUAAAUGCCCUGCUUCCAGGAAAAGCCUCUAAGCAUCAGGUAACACGAAAUCGUACCCCAAACCGACACAGGUGGUCAGGUAGAGAAUACCAAGGCGCUUGAGAGAACUCGGGUGAAGGAACUAGGCAAAAUGGUGCCGUAACUUCGGGAGAAGGCACGCUGAUAGGUAGGUGAAGCCCCUGCGGGCGGAGCUGAAAUCAGUCGAAGAUACCAGCUGGCUGCAACUGUUUAUUAAAAACACAGCACUGUGCAAACACGAAAGUGGACGUAUACGGUGUGACGCCUGCCCGGUGCCGGAAGGUUAAUUGAUGGGGUUAGCGGCAACGCGAAGCUCUUGAUCGAAGCCCCGGUAAACGGCGGCCGUAACUAUAACGGUCCUAAGGUAGCGAAAUUCCUUGUCGGGUAAGUUCCGACCUGCACGAAUGGCGUAAUGAUGGCCAGGCUGUCUCCACCCGAGACUCAGUGAAAUUGAACUCGCUGUGAAGAUGCAGUGUACCCGCGGCAAGACGGAAAGACCCCGUGAACCUUUACUAUAGCUUGACACUGAACACUGGUCCUUGAUGUGUAGGAUAGGUGGGAGGCUUUGAAGCGUGGACGCCAGUCUGCGUGGAGCCGUCCUUGAAAUACCACCCUUUAAUGGCUGGUGUUCUAACGUAGACCCGUGAUCCGGGUUGCGGACAGUGUCUGGUGGGUAGUUUGACUGGGGCGGUCUCCUCCCAAAGAGUAACGGAGGAGCACGAAGGUUGGCUAAUCCUGGUCGGACAUCAGGAGGUUAGUGCAAUGGCAUAAGCCAGCUUGACUGCGAGCGUGACGGCGCGAGCAGGUGCGAAAGCAGGUCAUAGUGAUCCGGUGGUUCUGAAUGGAAGGGCCAUCGCUCAACGGAUAAAAGGUACUCCGGGGAUAACAGGCUGAUACCGCCCAAGAGUUCAUAUCGACGGCGGUGUUUGGCACCUCGAUGUCGGCUCAUCACAUCCUGGGGCUGAAGUAGGUCCCAAGGGUAUGGCUGUUCGCCAUUUAAAGUGGUACGCGAGCUGGGUUUAGAACGUCGUGAGACAGUUCGGUCCCUAUCUGCCGUGGGCGCUGGAGAAUUGAGGGGGGCUGCUCCUAGUACGAGAGGACCGGAGUGGACGCAUCACUGGUGUUCGGGUUGUCAUGCCAAUGGCACUGCCCGGUAGCUAAAUGCGGAAGAGAUAAGUGCUGAAAGCAUCUAAGCACGAAACUUGCCCCGAGAUGAGUUCUCCCUGAGACUUUAAGUCUCCUGAAGGAACGUUGAAGACGACGACGUUGAUAGGUCGGGUGUGUAAGCGCAGCGAUGCGUUGAGCUAACCGAUACUAAUGAACCGUGAGGCUUAACCUU